AACGCAUAUUGCACUCCCUGGUAUUCCGGGGAGUAUGCCUGUUUCAGUAUCACGAACAAUACCUCAGGCCAAAAGUUUUUUUGGACCCUGGAUCUAGGCUGUGAAGCUUCUUCUGCAGCCGGCCUCGAACGAGUUUUUCUGGGUCGGCCAGCCUGAAACGCAUCCCACCGCGGCGGGUUCUUUCAAGGGGAAAGAAAGGCGUGAUAGUUUGACCUCGGAGUCGAUCUUUUCGCCGAAGAAAAACCCUUUCUCGCUCGCGGCGAUUAGCAGGACCGACGAAAGGCCUACCGGAGGAGAACCUCCCCCGGUCUGUCUUUUGCUCUUCAACUUGAUCUGAAAUCAGGUAGGAGUACCCGCUGAACUUAA
rnacentral:misc_RNA from 1 species